GUGGGUAUAGCUCAGUGGUAGAACACAUGCUUAGUAUGCAAUAUGGUCCUAGGUUCAAUUCCUGGUAACUCCA
rnacentral:tRNA from 1 species